GUUCGAUCCUUCCGUCCCAGA
rnacentral:tRNA from 6 species